UGGUUCUGGCAUCGAUGAAGAACGCAGCGAAAUGCGAUAAGUAAUGUGAAUUGCAGAAUUCAGUGAAUCAUCGAAUCUUUGAACGCACAUUGCGCCCGCUAGUAUUCUGGCGGGCAUGCCUGUUCGAGCGUCAUUUCAACCCUCGGGCCCCGCUCCUCGCGGGCCCCGGCGUUGGGGACCGGCCUCCGCCCCGGCGGCCGUCCCCGAAACCCAGUGGCGGUCCCGCCGCGGCCUUCUCUGCGCAGUAGCAAACAACUCGCACUGGAGAGCGGCGCGGCCACGCCGUGAAAAAGACGAAUUUUCUCAAGGUUGACCUCGGAUCAGGUAGGAAUACCCGCUGA
rnacentral:misc_RNA from 1 species